UGGCAAACAGAAAGAACAUAGUACAAACACAACUUAUAUCCAGUUCAAUAUGAUUAAUAAAAAUUAUGAAAAACUCAAAUAAAUGAAGAAAAAGAAAAUACGCCUGUUAACUUCUAGUUCAAUAAUUAGGAUUAAAAGGACUCAGGAUGAUGAUUAUAUAAUGUAAAUAAAGUGAAACCAUCAAGCUAUGUGAAGUAUUAAUGAUUCAAGUAAAAUGAAUAAUUA
rnacentral:misc_RNA from 1 species